ACUGCAUAAAGGCCAGUCUGAAGAGCUGCAUGUUGCCAUUUUGUCCCCUAACUUGCCUGUCAUCAUCUCUGCUGCCCAGCUAUUGUGACCUGGGCCUCCGGAACGCCUUGGUUUUGGUUUCUCUGAUUGCCAUUCGCUUCCUGCCUCCUGAACGCAGCCCUCUCCCCUGACAAGAAACCUUCCCUAUCGGUGACAUCACAGCGGCUGAGGACGGUAUAAAAAGGUGGUUGGGAAGCCGCUGACACCAUUGGAGGCACGAGCAUCGAACGGAGGGACAAAAAGCACUUGACCGCCUCCUGCACGACACUUUUCUUCGAAACCAAGUCCAACAUGUGCAAAAUGACCAUCGUCCACCUGGGAGUGAUCAUUUAUGCCAUUUGUUUAUCAACGCAGGUGGUCUCCCAGAACACCACAGUCGCCAGCACAGGAAUGACUUCCACCUCCAACAGCAGCAUGCCCACCAUGGCUACAGACAUGUACAGCGGCUCGACCAAUUCCACCUCCUCCCCCACCGGAACAGGCUUCUCGCUGCACACCUCCGCCUGUUCCUCCGCCCUGCUCAUCAUCCUCGUCGGAGCGGCCUCUUUUUUGCAGAGCCUUUCUUGAAAGCUGCCCAUUCCCAAAGAACCCACCCGCUCCGGCUGGACCCCCACACCCACCUCCACCACCAUCAACCCUGCACCAGACGAACCGAAAUGGACACCUCUAAGUAAUAUUCAUAAUCGAAAUGUGUAAUCAAGAAAUGGGCGGGUGGGACUUCCGGCAGGUUGGUGCAGGCUGAUUCCCUCAGGCCCCCUUUUUUGCACGACAUGAAGAAAAAUGCAGCUUGCUUCUCUUUGGCCUUUCCACCAUUGCCACGCUGAAGAUGCUCUGCGCUGCACUUAAUGUCACGUGUUAAAAUUGUGGACCACUUGGUUUAUUCUAUGGCUUCAACCCCACCAGGCUAUCAAUACUGCAAUGGCUUUUGGCUCUAAAGUGUAAGAGUAUAUCUAGUAUUUAAUAACUGCAUGAGCCAAAUGAGUUGGUUCCCCUUUUGACUUGGCGCCUCCAUCUUUCUUUAAAAUGUCGGUUGUAUGUAGCAAUUACUCUGAUGCGGGCCUCGUCCUUCUCGCCUUGUCAUUUUUAAGAGUUGUGGUCUUUGUACAAUUAACCCCUCUCACACACACACGCACCACUCCUUUUCCAGGCUGACCCAGGAAAUGACUGACCACAUGGGUGGGGUUAAUGUUUGAUUCCCCCUUUAAAGCUUAUUUUUUGUACAAAAUAAAAUGUCCUGUGUAUGAGUUUGAUUUAUGAAUUCUGUACAAUAAAUUGUUGAAAA